UACGGAGGGUGCGAGCGUUGUCCGGAAUCAUUGGGCGUAAAGGGCGCGUAGGUGGCCCGGUCAGUUCGUGGUGAAAGCGCGGGGCUCAACCCUGCGUCGGCCAUGAAUACUGCCGCGGCUGGAGCACUGUAGAGGCAGGCGGAAUUCCGGGUGUAGCGGUGGAAUGCGUAGAGAUCCGGAAGAACACCGGUGGCGAAGGCGGCCUGCUGGGCCAGUAGCUGCACUGAGGCGCGAACAGCGUGGGG
rnacentral:rRNA from 1 species